rnacentral:rRNA from 1 species
CACGUAGGGGGCAAGCGUUGUCCGGAAUUAUUGGGCGUAAAGAGCUCGUAGGCGGCUCGGUAAGUCAGGUGUCAAAUCCUCAGGCUCAACCUGGGGCUCCACCUGAUACUGCUGUGGCUAGAGUCCGGUAGGGGAGCGUGGAAUUCCUGGUGUAGCGGUGAAAUGCGUAGAUAUCAGGAGGAACACCGGUGGUGUAGACGGCUUUCUGGACCGUAACUGACGCUGAGACACGAAAGCGUGGGUAGCAAACAGG